rnacentral:rRNA from 1 species
AUUGAACGCUGGCGGCAUGCUUUACACAUGCAAGUCGAACGGUAACAGGGAGCUUGCUCCGCUGACGAGUGGCGAACGGGUGAGUAAUGCAUCGGAACGUACCCAGUCGUGGGGGAUAACGUAGCGAAAGUUACGCUAAUACCGCAUACGUCCUGAGGGAGAAAGCGGGGGACCGUAAGGCCUCGCGCGAUUGGAGCGGCCGAUGUCGGAUUAGCUAGUUGGUAGGGUAAAGGCCUACCAAGGCGACGAUCCGUAGCGGGUCUGAGAGGAUGAUCCGCCACACUGGGACUGAGACACGGCCCAGACUCCUACGGGAGGCAGCAGUGGGGAAUUUCGGACAAUGGGCGAAAGCCUGAUCCAGCCAUGCCGCGUGAGUGAAGAAGGCCUCGGUUGUAAGCUCUUCAGGUGGAAGGAAAUACGCACUUUUAAUUACAGGUGUGGAUGACGGUACCGAUCAGAAGAAGACACCGGCUAACUACGU